GACGAACGCUGGCGGCGUGCUUAACACAUGCAAGUCGAACGGUAAGGCCCCUUCGGGGGUACACGCGUGGCGAACGGGUGAGUAACACGUGCGCAACCUGCCCUUGACUCUGGUAUAACAGUUGGAAACAGCUGCUAAUACUUGAUAUUCAUCGUCUCCUUCUUGGGGGGGGGUGGAAGGCUCCGGCGGUCGGGGAUGGGCUCGCGGCCUAUCAGCUUGUUGGUGAGGUAAUGGCUCACCAAGGCUUCGACGGGUAGCCGGCCUGAGAGGGCGACCGGCCACACUGGGACUGAGAUACGGCCCAGACUCCUACGGGAGGCAGCAGUGGGGAAUAUUGCACAAUGGGCGCAAGCCUGAUGCAGCAACGCCGCGUGCGGGAUGACGGCCUUCGGGUUGUAAACCGCUUUCGGUAGGGACGAAGGGUGACUGACGGUACCUACAGAAGAAGGACCGGCUAACUACGUG
rnacentral:rRNA from 1 species